rnacentral:rRNA from 1 species
AAUACCCGUUGAUCCUGCGGGAGGUUGCUGCUAUCAGGAUUCGACUAAGCCAUGCAAGUCUAGGGGGAGCAAUCCCCCGGCAGAAUGCUCAGUAACACGUCAUUAAUCUGCCCUCAAGUCUGGGAUAACGUCGGGAAACUGACGACAAUACCGGAUAGGGGAGCCAAUCUGGAACGAUGGUUCUCCUAAAGAUCCGUCGCUUGAGGAUGAGAUGGCGGCUGAUUAGGUUGUUGGCGGUGUAACGGACCACCAAGCCUUUGAUCAGUAGGGGCCUUGAGAGAG